rnacentral:rRNA from 1 species
GGAGCUGAUAUCAGGCACGCCCAAGACAUCUAGCUAUGCCACACCCACAAGGGCUUUCAGCAGUGAUUAAUAUUAAAAAUAAACGUCAGUUUGAUUUAAUUAAAGAAAAACGGGCCGGCCAAUCUGGUGCCAGCCGCCGCGGUUACACCAAGUGGCCCCGAUAGAUUCGGCGUAAAGCGUGGUUAAAAUAAGGCUAAACUUAAACUAAGCUGUAGCACGCUUGUUCUCCGGAAAACCAUAUAUCGAAAGAUGCCCUACCUAAACUUGAACCCACCACAACCAGGACAUAAACUAGGAUUAGAUACCCUACUAUACCCGGUCGUAAACUUUAAUUUACACCGCCAGGAAACUACGAGCAAAGCUUAAAACCCAAGGGACUUGACGGUGCCCCACAUCCCCCUAGAGGAGCCUGUCCUAUAAUCGAUACCCCCCGUUUAACCUCACCAUUUUUAGCAGCCUGUAUACUUCCGUCGUCAGCUUACCGCAUGAGCGAGUAAGCUUAAUGACCUAACGUCAGGUCAAAGUGCAGCUUAUAAAAUGGGAAGAGAUGGGCUACACUUUCUACCUUAGAAGAUACGAAAAACUAUGUGAAAUAGAAGGCGGAUUUAGAAGUAAAAACAGAAUAGAGAACUAUUUUUAACUGAGCACUGGGGCGUGUACACACCGCCCGUCA